GACGAACGCUGGCGGCGUGCUUAACACAUGCCAGUCGAACGGAAAGGCCCUGCUUGCCGGGUGCUCGAGUGGCGAACGGGUGAGUAACACGUGGGUGAUCUGCCCCUUACUUUGGGAUAAGCCUGGGAAACUGGGUCUAAUACUGGAUAGGACCAUGCUGUAGGUGGUGUGGUGGAAAGAUUAGUUUCGGUAAGGGAUGAGCUCGCGGCCUAUCAGCUUGUUGGUGGGGUAAUGGCCUACCAAGGCGUCGACGGGUAGCCGGCCUGAGAGGGUGGACGGCCACAUUGGGACUGAGAUACGGCCCAGACUCCUACGGGAGGCAGCAGUGGGGAAUAUUGCACAAUGGGCGCAAGCCUGAUGCAGCGACGCCGCGUGGGGGAUGACGGCCUUCGGGUUGUAAACUCCUUUCAGCCAUGACGAAGCCCUUGUGGUGACGGUAGUGGGAGAAGAAGCACCGGCUAACUACGUG
rnacentral:rRNA from 1 species